rnacentral:snRNA from 1 species
GGAUAAGUGGGAGCUUCGG